rnacentral:rRNA from 1 species
GAUGAACGCUAGCUACAGGCUUAACAUAUGCAAGUCGCAGGGUAACAUGAGGAAAGCUUGCUUUCCUUGAUGACGACUGGCGCACGGGUGAGUAACGCGUAUCCAACCUUCCCAUAACUACGGGAUAACCCGUUGAAAGACGGCCUAAUACCGUAUGAUAUCGUUUGCUGACAUCAAAUAACGAUUAAAGGUUUAGCGGUUAUGGAUGGGGAUGCGUCUGAUUAGCUUGUUGGCGGGGUAACGGCCCACCAAGGCUACGAUCAGUAGGGGUUCUGAGAGGAAGGUCCCCCACAUUGGAACUGAGACACGGUCCAAACUCCUACGGGAGGCAGCAGUGAGGAAUAUUGGUCAAUGGGCGAGAGCCUGAACCAGCCAAGUAGCGUGCAGGAUGACGGCCCUAUGGGUUGUAAACUGCUUUUAUGUGGGGAUAAAGUGCGUGACGUGUCAUGCAUUGCAGGUACCACAUGAAUAAGGACCGGCUAAUUCCGUGCCAGCAGCCGCGGUAAUACGGAAGGUCCGGGCGUUAUCCGGAUUUAUUGGGUUUAAAGGGAGCGUAGGCUGUCUAUUAAGCGUGUUGUGAAAUAUACCGGCUCAACCGGUGGCUUGCAGCGCGAACUGGUCGACUUGAGUAUGCAGGAAGUAGGCGGAAUUCAUGGUGUAGCGGUGAAAUGCUUAGAUAUCAUGACGAACUCCGAUUGCGCAGGCAGCUUACUGUAGCAUAACUGACGCUGAUGCUCGAAAGUGCGGGUAUCAAACUG